UACAGAGGGGGCCAGCGUUAUUCGGAAUUACUGGGCGUAAAGCGCGCGUAGGCGGCUUUGCAAGUCGAGUGUGAAAUCCCCAGGCUUAACCUGGGAACUGCAUUCGAGACUGCAUGGCUAGAGUAUGGGAGAGGGAAGUGGAAUUUCAGGUGUAGCGGUGAAAUGCGUAGAUAUCUGAAGGAACAUCAGUGGCGAAAGCGACUUCCUGGACCAAUACUGACGCUCAUGUGCGAAAGCGUGGGGAGCAAACAGG
rnacentral:rRNA from 1 species